GAUGAACGCUAGCGGCAGGCCUAACACAUGCAAGUCGAGGGGUAGAGUUAGCUUGCUAACUUGAGACCGGCGCACGGGUGCGUAACGCGUAUGCAAUCUACCUUGUACAGAGGGAUAGCCCAGAGAAAUUUGGAUUAAUACCUCAUAGUGUUAUGAUGUGGCAUCACAUUAUAACUAAAGUUCCAACGGUACAAGAUGAGCAUGCGUCCCAUUAGUUAGUUGGUAAGGUAACGGCUUACCAAGACAAUGAUGGGUAGGGGUCCUGAGAGGGAGAUCCCCCACACUGGUACUGAGACACGGACCAGACGCCUACGGGCGGCAGCAGUGAGGAAUAUUGGUCAAUGGGCGCAAGCCUGAACCAGCCAUGCCGCGUGCAGGAUGACGGUCCUAUGGAUUGUAAACUGCUUUUAUACAGGAAGAAACACUCCCACGUGAGGGAGCUUGACGGUACUGUAGGAAUAAGGAUCGGCUAACUCCGUGCCAGCCGCCGCGGUAACAC
rnacentral:rRNA from 1 species